AUUGAACGCUGGCGGCAGGCCUAACACAUGCAAGUCGAACGAGUGGCGGACGGGUGAGUAAUGUCUGGGAAACUGCCUGCUGGAGGGGGAUAACUACUGGAAACGGUAGCUAAUACCGCAUACCAUCAGAUGGGCCCAGAUGGGAUUAGCUAGUUGGUGGGGUAACGGAUCACAAAGGCGACGAUCCCUAGCUGGUCUGAGGGGAUGACCAGCCACACUGGAACUGAGACACGGUCCAUACUCCGACGGGAGGCAUAAGUGGGGAAUAUGGCACAAUGGGCGCAAGCCUGAUGCAGCCAUGCGGCGUGUAUGAAGAAGGCCUUCGGGUUGGAAAGUACUUUCAGCGGGGAGGCGUUACCCGCAGAGGAAGCACCGGCUAACUCCGUGCCAGCCGCCGCGGUAAUUC
rnacentral:rRNA from 1 species